rnacentral:rRNA from 1 species
GACGAACGCUGGCGGCGUGCUUAACACAUGCAAGUCGAACGGGCCUGUCUUCUUUUUUGGGGGGUGGGUUGAGUGGCGAACGGGUGAGUAUCACGUGAGUAACCUGCCCUUCGGUCCUGGAUAACCGCUUGAAAGGGCGGCUAAUACGGGGUGGUCCGGUUGGUCCGCAUGGGCUGGUCGGGAUAGAUUCACUGUUUUUGGUGUUUCGGCGGGGGAUGGGCUCGCGGCCUAUCAGCUUGUUGGUGGGGUGAUGGCCUACCAAGGCGGUGACGGGUAGCCGGCCUGAGCGGGUGGGCGGCCACACUGGGACUGGGAUACGGCCCAGACUCCUGCGGGAGGCAGCAGUGGGGGGUAUUGCACAAUGGGCGGAAGCCUGAUGCAGCGACGUCGCGUGAGGGAUGGAGGCCUUCGGGUUGUGAACCUCUGUUUCCGGUGGUGAAGGCCCUGUCCGUGUGGUGGGGUUGACGGUAGCCGGGGAUGAAGCGCCGGCUAACUACGUG